UGCAUAUCCAAAAAGCGGAGGAAAAGAAACCAACAGGGAUUGCCUUAGUAACGGCGAGUGAGCGGCAAAAGCUCAAAUUUGAAAUCUGGCACCUUCGGUGUCCGAGUUGUAAUUUGAAGAAGGUAACUUUGGAGUUAGCUCUUGUCUAUGUUCCUUGGAACAGGACGUCACAGAGGGUGAGAAUCCCGUGCGAUGAGAUGUCUAACUCUAUGUAAAGUGCUUUCGAAGAGUCGAGUUGUUUGGGAAUGCAGCUCUAAGUGGGUGGUAAAUUCCAUCUAAAGCUAAAUAUUGGCGAGAGACCGAUAGCGAACAAGUACAGUGAUGGAAAGAUGAAAAGAACUUUGAAAAGAGAGUGAAAAAGUACGUGAAAUUGUUGAAAGGGAAGGGUUUGAGAUCAGACUUGGUAUUUUGUAUGUCUUGCUUUCGGGUGGGGCCUCUGCAGUUUACUGGGCCAGCAUCGGUUUGGAUGGUAGGAUAAUGACAUUGGAAUGUGGCACUACUUCGGUGGUGUGUUAUAGACUUUGUUGAUACUGCCUGUCUAGACCGAGGACUGCGUCUUUGACUAGGAUGCUGGCAUAAUGAUCCUAAACCGCCCGUCUUGAAACCACGGACCA
rnacentral:rRNA from 1 species